rnacentral:rRNA from 1 species
AGCGAACGCUGGCGGCAGGCCUAAUACAUGCAAGUCGAGCGCACCUUCGGGUGAGCGGCGGACGGGUGAGUAACGCGUGGGAACGUGCCCUUUGGUACGGGAUAACUGAGGGAAACUUCAGCUAAUACCGUAUGUGCCCUACGGGGGAAAGAUUUAUCGCCAUUGGAGCGGCCCGCGUUGGAUUAGGUAGUUGGUGAGGUAAAGGCUCACCAAGCCUACGAUCCAUAGCUGGUCUGAGAGGAUGAUCAGCCACACUGGGACUGAGACACGGCCCAGACUCCUACGGGAGGCAGCAGUAGGGAAUCUUGCGCAAUGGGCGAAAGCCUGACGCAGCCAUGCCGCGUGAAUGAUGAAGGUCUUAGGAUUGUAAAAUUCUUUCACCGGGGAAGAUAAUGACGGUACCCGGAGAAGAAGCCCCGGCUAACUUCGUGCCAGCAGCCGCCGUAACAC